GACUGAGUGGUGUAAUGGUAACAUCGUCGCUAAUCAUUGGUUCCUGUUCUGAAUUGUUUAUUAGUGCGGUUGUGGGUUCAAAUCCCACCUCAGUCA